GUGGAUUAGAUACCCUAGUAGUCCACGCCGUAAACGAUGGAUGCUAGCCGUCGGCAAGCUUGCUUGUCGGUGGCGCAGCUAACGCAUUAAGCAUCCCGCCUGGGGAGUACGGCCGCAAGGUUAAAACUCAAAGGAAUUGACGGGGGCCCGCACAAGCGGUGGAGCAUGUGGUUUAAUUCGACGCAACGCGAAGAACCUUACCAGCCCUUGACAUGUCCGGUCGGUUUCCAGAGAUGGAUUCCUCCUAGCAAUAGGUCGGAACACAGGUGCUGCACGGUCGUCGACAACU
rnacentral:rRNA from 1 species